UGCGGGCGGCAGCGCACGGGAAGGGGCGCGCUGCCGGCGCGGGGCGCGACGCCCGCUGCCGCUGACCGACGGAAGGGGGGAAGCGGCGAGGUUGCCGGCGGGGGGGCCGGCCGGUCGGCCGCGAGCGAGCCGCAGAGACGAGAUCGGGGGGGCCUUCGGGGUCGGGGGAGGCGUCUCCCCCGGCUCUCCCCGCGCCCAGGCCCGGCCGCGCGAGGCGGCCAAGGGGCUCCGGGCGUUCCGGGAUGGCGCGCCGCCGGCGGGCGAGGCAACGGCCGGGUCGCGUCCCCGCGCGAGCGGGCGGCCCAAGCCACGGCUCUCGUCCCGGGCGCAGCGCCGGGCUACUGAGGGAAACCCCGGGCCCCGGGAAGGAGGCCGAGGCUGUGGCGGCGGAUGUCGGGCGUGCCCCCGCGGGCGGACGCUCCCCCGAAGGUGGCAGUGGGGGAGGCACCCCCGCGGGGCCCAGAGGUCGUUUCCCUCACCCCAGGGCCAGGUACCUAGCGUCCGCGCUCUCCUGCGGCCCUCCCUCACCAUAGCGAUACGCAGGGGGUCAAAGGCCGCGCGGAAGCCGGGCGGAGGUUUAAAGACUCGGGCGGCUCGGCGCGGCCCGGGGGCGCGGGCCGGGCGGCGGCACCGCCGUUGUCGCUCUCCCGAAAGGGGCUGGGAGGUCUCUCCGCGGCAGCCCCUGGAGGGGGAGGGACGGUCGGUCGGUCGUCCGUCACCCGCACUCGUCCCGCGGGCGGCCGUGCCGGGGAGGGGUUCCGCUGCCCCCCCCCUCUCCGCGGACCGGUCUCGGCGGAGAGACCGCGGCGCGGUCAGCCGUGUCCGGCCUCGCCCGCCUCGAAGCGGGGCGACCCCGGCGGGGAGCGCGGGCUCUCCGCCAGGGGGGCGGGCGGGUCCCCGCGGUGGGGGCUCGCCGGGACGCCGCGCCUCCGUGCCGGUGCUGCGCCGCACUGCGGCUCCGCUCCUCCCUCCCUCCCUCUGCUCUCCUGCCUCCCCCGCCCCGGCCAGCGCUCGGCGGUCUCCCGCCGCCGGGCGCGCCGGUGAGGACAGCACCCCGGCCGAGCGGCGGCGGCGCCGCUCGGCCUGUCGGUCGGCCGGAGGGCGCCCGCCGCUAGCAGCGGCCGUGCCGUUCCGGGCCCCAUCUGCCGCUUUCCCCUGUUGCCCUUCCCGGCCGCGCCGGGCAGCGGGAGGGCGGGCGGGGGCGUCCCGCUCCCGGUCUCCGCGUGGAAACGGGGAGAGCGGGCGUCGCCCCCCGCCUCAGCGCCGUCCACCUUCCGCGCGGCGCG
rnacentral:lncRNA from 1 species